GCUCUCUUAGGAUCUCACCUGGAGUGUUUCCAGUACUCUACCAGUUUUGGCUAUGGGAGGGAGAAUCAAGUAGAGGCAUACCCAUUCCAUUCCUAGCUUGGGGAGUAGCUAGCAAGUGGAAGGCAAUCUGCUACAAGU